rnacentral:rRNA from 1 species
CACACGUGCUACAAUGGACAAUACAAAGGGCAGCGAAACCGUGAGGUCAAGCAAAUCCCAUAAAGUUGUUCUCAGUUCGGAUUGUAGUCUGCAACUCGACUACAUGAAGCUGGAAUCGCUAGUAAUCGUAGAUCAGCAUGCUACGGUGAAUACGUUCCCGGGUCUUGUACACACCGCCCGUCACACCACGAGAGUUUGUAACACCCGAAGCCGGUGGAGUAACCUUUUAGGAGCUAGCCGUCGAAGGUGGGACAAAUGAUUGGGGUGAAGUCGUAACAAGGUAGCCGUAUCGGAAGGUGCGGCUGGAUCACCUCCUUU